UACACGUGGAUAACCUACCCUUGAGACGGGGAUAAACCCGGGAAACUGGGUAUAAUACCCGAUAGAUCUCGACUGCUGGAAUGCAUCGAGCUUGAAAGCUCCGGCGCUCAAGGAUGGAUCUGCGGCCUAUCAGGUAGUAGUGGGUGUAGCGCACCUACUAGCCUACGACGGGUACGGGUUGUGAGAGCAAGAGCCCGGAGAUGGAUUCUGAGACACGAAUCCAGGCCCUACGGGGUGCAGCAGGCGCGAAAACUUUACAAUGCUGGAAACAGCGAUAAGGGGACCUCGAGUGCCAGGUUACAAAUCUGGCUGUCGUGAUGCCUAAAAAGCAUUGCAUAGCAAGGGCCGGGCAAGACCGGUGCCAGCCGCCGCGGUAACACCGGCGGCUCGAGUGGUAACCGUUAUUAUUGGGUCUAAAGGGUCUGUAGCCGGCCGGAUAAGUCUCUUGGGAAAUCUGGCAGCUUAACUGUCAGGCUUUCAGGAGAUACUGUCUGGCUCGAGGCCGGGAGAGGUGAGAGGUACUUCAGGGGUAGGGGUGAAAUCUUGUAAUCCUUGAAGGACCACCAGUGGCGAAGGCGUCUCACCAGAACGGACCUGACGGCAAGGGACGAAAGCUAGGGGCACGAACCGGAUUAGAUACCCGGGUAGUCCUAGCCGUAAACGAUACUCGCUAGGUGUCGGCCACGGUGCGACCGUUGUCGGUGCCGUAGGGAAGCCGUGAAGCGAGCCACCUGGAAGU
rnacentral:rRNA from 1 species